rnacentral:rRNA from 1 species
AACGAACGCUGGCGGCAUGCCUAACACAUGCAAGUCGAACGAGACCUUCGGGUCUAGUGGCGCACGGGUGCGUAACGCGUGGGAACCUGCCCUUAGGUUCGGACUAACUCCCCGUAAGGGGUGCUAAUACCGGAUACUGUCUUCGGACCAAAGAUUUAUCGCCUUUGGAUGGGCCCGCGUUGGAUUAGCUAGUUGGUAGGGUAAAAGCCUACCAAGGCGACGAUCCAUAGCUGGUCUGAGAGGAUGAUCAGCCACACUGGGACUGAGACACGGCCCAGACUCCUACGGGAGGCAGCAGUGGGGAAUAUUGGACAAUGGGCGAAAGCCUGAUCCAGCAAUGCCGCGUGAGUGAUGAAGGCCUUAGGGUUGUAAAGCUCUUUUACCCGGGAUGAUAAUGACAGUACCGGGAGAAUAAGCUCCGGCUAACUCCGUG